GUUGUUGGUUGAAGAAUGGUUCACCUGCCAAAUACAUCACCCUCUAAGUUAUCUGAAUACAAACACAUCUUGACUUCUUAAAAAAAAAUCACAUGGUUUAAAAGAGAAGUUAAUUUAAAAAGUGCAGAAUGUGUAUAUGAGAAGACUACAGAGGAAGCAGCCAUUCUCCCAGGUCUUUAUCCUUUUUGGCUCCAGGUAAAUGAAUAUAAAUCCAUUCAGAUCGUUGCUCUGAGAUUCAGUUACUCAUGGGCAGGGUUCUAAUCGCGUCACUACAACUUGUAUCUAAGAGGUUGAUUUAAUAAUACUGGAAAGUGCAAAAUGUGGUGAAGCUCUGCCUAGCAAUCAAUCAGCUUCCAUUUAUUUAUUUUUUUGUCAAAGUUCAAUUCUACAAAUUGAAGGUAGAAACUGAUUGGUGUGCUGUGCAUGGUAGCCAGAUUUUGCACUCCAGUUUUAGUAAAUCAACCCCUAAUGGUCAUAAAGCAUUUCUGCCUGUAGACUGGUCAGCCUAAAGAUCCUUGCCUCACAACUUCUACAUUAUCUGGAUGAAAACGUUUCCUGCUGAUGCCCACACAUAGCUAAUGCUGUUGCGUAUCAGGACUAAAACAAAGGGGAACUGCUCCUCUUGAGGACAACUGAACACCUGUGCCAGCCCUGAGGCUUGCACCACUAAAAACAAUUCAGCAAAGACGGGUCCCAUCAUACACAGCAUCCAGUAUGGUAAUAGUUUUUAUUCACUGGGGGGGGAGACAAGGAAUCUGGUUUGCUAUGGACAACACUUCUGUUUUGAUUGGUAUUCAUAAACCAGGCCAAUGAGCUUGGUGCAGUUUAAUAAUUUAUUCAUAAAAUUACACAACAGCAGCUUAUAGCAGCAAUAAGGGAACAAAAAAAAAUAGCCCAAACAAUGUAGGUCGCAACUCCAAGGUUUAAUAAAAAUUUUUUUUUUUUUUUUU